CAAUUUAUAAGCUCUGAUAAAGUAAAUACCAGCAUUCUAGUGACAAAAUUAGUCUCCACAAAAUAUAUAGACAAAUCUGAUAUACAUGAGUAUAUUAUGGAGAUGAAGAAUAUUACAGCGCAUUUAAUUAAAUGAUAUUAAGACUUACAUAUUAGAUACAUUCCUGAUCCAUUUUAUUCUUACUUUUUUUCCAUUAGAGUACGAUCUCGUUAAGAUCUCCUGUAAUACACACAAUGAAGAUUGGAUAGUUAAUUAUUACUGACUAAAUGUAUAUAAGAGGGGAAGAGAUUGAGAGAGGAGAAGAUAAAGAGUGUGAACUUUGCUUUACAUUAGGUUAGUGGAAAAGCAUGCAAAGGAAUGGGUGCACCCAAAGUAAAAGAGAAUAAAGUAAUUACUAUGAUAUCAGGUAAAGCC
rnacentral:lncRNA from 1 species